GUGGCAUAUCAGAUAUUCUGUAUAUUGAUAUUUACAUUACAAUUAAUUUUUUCACAUUUAAAAUUGAUAACAGUAGCAAAAUUACAGUUAUGAAGUAGCAGCAAAAUAAUUUUAUGGUUGGGAGGGUCACCACAACAUGAAGUACUGUAUUAAAGGUUGAGGACCUUCUCAAUGGACUAAGAGAAGAUUGCCAGGCAAGAUAGCCUACCCUGGGAAGAACAGCAUCUCUAUCCUUUUGCUUCUAACACAACAAUAAAUGAUAAGAACCAUUCUUCUAGCCAUUCAUAAAUACAUUAGGCAAUUACAGAAGUCCAGACUCCAUGCUGACUAUACACAGACUCUUAGGUAGAAGCAGCUGGCAUACAAUACAGAUAAGGUUAAAUUGUACCCGUUUUACUUUUGGCUGGCCAAGGGCUACCAUUAGAAGACAAGUUCAAUUUUCAAACUGUCAUGACUAAGAUUUUCAUAGAAAUCAUAUUAAUCACAAAAGCCCUUUGGUUCACAAUCAGAGACAGAUGCCUCAUAAUGACUUAGCAUUGAGUACACCUCUCUUGAAGGACGACUGAGCAAACAUCACUAACUCUUUCAGGUAACAUUUAGGGAACUUUGGGAUUGCCACAUCUGUUCUCUUGCAUGUACAUGCCCAGCCAUCUGUUCCUUUCACUCAACAUGGCAGAGUCCUAUUCCAUGAGCUGGAUUUUCACUUCUCAAUAUAGAACCGUGUAUCUUUCGUCAUGGUCCGACUGACUUCCUGAUAAUAAAUCACUGACAUUGGAUUUGUAAGAGACGACAAACAUCGACUUUGUUGUUAGCAUAUGUAAAACAUUGCCCACUCGAUGGACUAUAUAUUUUAAUGACUAGUAAGUGUCCUAAGGCUUCAGAUGAGAAUGUCCUGAAGGAUAAUCUUUUAAUCCAGUAUUGCUUACAGUCUGAGAAGCCCGGUGUCCAGAUUAAAUGCAAUGUGAUUUGUGCUAUGGAUUCUGCAAUUCGGCAUUCAGUGGCUUCUGGAGUGAGCCUCUCAGAUCUCUACAGACCAAUGGAGACGAAGCUGCAUGUUCUGUAGCUGUAGUGAGAAGAAAGGCAGCAAGCUUGGUCCAAAAGGUAGGAGAAGAGUUCAGUGCUCUAUGUGGAUCUGGUCACAGAGGAAAGUCACUGCAAUGACAUAAGACUGGAAGUUAUUCUGUAAUAACUAGUGAAUGAUAAGCAAUGUUGACCUUCAUUUAUUAGUGUCUACCUGCUUUGGUAUGUAAAACCCCCUUGCUAUGAAAGACAAGAAGAAAAAGAAUCAUUGAUUAAUAACUACAGCUUUAAACACCAUAUUUACAGAUGUCUUUGAAACUUUGGACUGCUUUGGGUAAAUGGCCUCCUUGAAAAUGAACUGCUAGGAUUCAUUAAAGAUUUGUGUAUUUAUUUAUUUAAUGUGUAUGAGUACACUGUAGCUGUCUUCAAACACACCAGAAGAGGGCAUCAGAUCACCUUAUAGAUGGUUGUGACCCACCACAUGGGUGCUGGAAAUUGAACUCAGGACCUCUGGAAGAGCAACCAGUGCUCUUCAGGUGACCUGAGAUGAUGCCUUUUAAAAUCCAUUUCUCUAAAGCCAUUGCUAAUUGGUUUUGAAUCUUUGGUGAAAUAACCUUGCCUCACAGGGCAAUUAUACUCCAAUCAAUUCUUACUUAAGUUGAACAUAAGAAAUUUGUAUAUGAAAGUGAUGGAAGGGUUAUUAAAAAUAUCUACAAUGCAAAUGAUUGUUAAAAUAAUUUUACUGAAAGGAAUAAGAAGGACAACAAGCAGAAAGCACCUUCAUAUGUGAUUUACACUAAAUAGCAUAAGGCAAUAAAAUGUUUUGCAAACUUUCUGCAGUGUGGUUUGGUAAGAGCACAAUCCUUACAAGAGGACACUGGAUUUGGCUUGAUUCUUAGCCAACACCUGCCUAUGUACUGUUGCAGAUCCCUUAUCCUGCCUAAACUAUCAUCUCCUUAUCUAUGAAAUGGCCAGCUAUCUCCAAGUGCCUUCUAAGAGUCCGCUGGACCAUGAGGAAACCUGUUGUUGAAGGGGUUGAUGGGAAGGGGGUUUUCUGAGUUAAUUCCCAACAAGAUGAUUUUUCAAAAUCAAACUCAACAAAAUGUCAGUGCACUGUGGACCUCUGUGUGUGUGUGUUGGUGUGUGUGUGUGUGUGUGUGUGUGUGUGUGUGUGUCUUUGUUUUUAGCAAUUUGCACCAGCUAUAUUAGUUUCCAUUGUCUUUUCUUUAUGGGUGGACUUGGACCCUUUUCUUCUUGACAGCAUGCUCACUCAUUUAUGCCCUCCUGGACAGAGGUAAGAAGAGGGAUGGCGGGGUGGAGUUAGCAGUCACCGAGAAGGACAGAUGUCACCAGAUGUUCAUGCUGUUAUAGCCAUAAUACUCUCUGAAUCUAAACCAAUGCAUUCGGCAUUUAAAUAUGCAAGGCGGACUGAGCACAGGGUCAAAGCCUACCCUGUCUUCCGUUGUAAGAGAUCAAUGGGAGCCAACUAAAAAAGAAACCCAACAAUAAAAUAAUAGCACAACUAAAAACUGUGAUGAGCAUCAGGGUGUGCAUGACUAGACCUGGGUAUCAGCAAGAGGUAUGAGU
rnacentral:lncRNA from 1 species